GGGACUGUGACUAGUGUGACUCCUCCUAAUGGUCUGUGCUUAACGCCUGAUGUUGGGAUUGGGAAUGAACUACUGACUGAACUCAGUGAAAUUUCUGGCGGAACUCAACAACAACAUGGCCGCUCUAAAGUUUCUCACCCCACUUCUUCUGUAGAUGUCAGCUCUAAAUUUGUAAAUAGAGAUCUGAGUGUUAGUUUUGCGGAUAAACUUAAAGCCCUACCGAAAAAUCUACAAACUACAAGUGAUACCACGGGACCUUCACAGACUCCCAAAUCUAGAACCUCCAAAAACAUCAUCGUCUGCACUGGAAACGAGCUGGAGAUUUCAAUGUAAACUUCGUUGGAGAUGACCAUAGAGCGAGGACUGUUGUGGAGCUAUUGAAAUCAUAUGGCCUGUACAUUACCUGCUUUGAGCCAACCAGAGGAAGAUCCUGCCUCGACAACGUUGCUGUUAACUUCCAACCCUCCGACUGUGACACAAGGGUGGUGGAGCUGCAUGGGGAUGAUCACGCAGCCUUGGUAACCUCUCUCAAUGUGGCAAACUGCAGCCUGAUGGAUUGUGAAUACUUACGAGGAUCCAUGAGUCGACAGUUGCUAAAGGGGUCGCCUUUAUAGCCCGUGGGGCAGCUACACACCGGGACGUGGUUCCGUACAUGACAGUCGGAGUUGACACCACACACUCCUGCACAUACAUCUACGCAACGAUAGUCCUUGCAGGCCUUGCUGGCCGGGCAGUCACUGUUAUCUAUAAAUCAUCAACAUAUCGUAAGACAGGGGGUUUCCCCAGUGGCCGGGCAGGCAGGAACACACAGGACGGCCACUGGACACAUAGCACUGGGUGUUCUGUCCACAAGGGUUGGGACUGCAGGGGUUCCCGUCAUAGGACACUUCGUACCUGCCUGUGGAUAAACAUCAUAUGUUAAAAGAGAUCAUUUAUAGAUAUAUCCUGUCCUGGAUAAAAAUGUAUGCAAAAUAAAUAGCUUAGGUUACCUUUUACCAUAAAUCCUUAUAGUAUUCUGAUGGAUAUAGGUUCAAGGGUUAGGUUUCCUGAUUGUCAAAGUUUUCGCCUCCGCUGUUGACUUUGUAUUGUAAACCAAUGGAUUCCAAAGAUAAAUCUACUCUUAUAAAUGAUUGAAAUGUAGUAUAAACUAAAGAUGAAAAAAUAAUUAUGAUAACUGCACAUAAACAUUUUGACAUCGUUUGUUCGAUAUUACCAGCAUUGUUGCGUUGGUUGUUCAUUCAUUGCGCAGAAUGUUGCAACAACCGGGAUCGUGGUCGUGGAAUAAAGCCUCGUCCACACAUGGCGAUUUGUCUGCGGAAACAUGGUCUGCCGACUGUCUCCAGUAUGUUGCUAUAUUGUCUCCAGUAUGUCGGCCGACUGUAGGCAGACAAAUUUCGGUGUUUCUGGAGACAAAAUACAGUGUUUUCUGUUUCCCGUUCGAAUGGGAAACACGGAGACAAGAGACAAAACUUUUGUCUCAAGUCUGCAUGUGUGGACGUGUCUGGAGACAGCAGACUGGAUACAAGCCGAAGGUGUUCAACAUUCAGCCCAUUUAGUUAGACUACAAAGCGGUAAUAUUACGAUUUUUGGGCGGUAAUAAAAGAGCUGGAUUGAGUUUCUUGAAAGUUUUGGAAUUAGUUUUCAAUGAUUUAUAUCAUUAAAUGACAUUUUAUUGAAUUGUUCAUCUCUUCAAGUUUAAAAUCUUAAGACCAACAAAGCCCAGCAAAAUUUCAAAAUCUUUAGAAGUCGACCUCGUGAAGUUACUAAAUCCUCCACCUAAUCUGAAGGUCUGAUAGAAGAUUGCGACCAUCGUACGAACCUUGCUCGAGAAAAUGUAGAGUCCAUCAUAGUCUCUUCCUAGAUUAAUAGGCCCAUGGCUCAGAAAAAUGAAGCCCGCAUAGGAUAUAAUUACGUCCUCCUCGGUCACCAUACCAACAAACAUGGAAACACUGGCUGGCUAGUGUGGACGCAAAACACAUCGGAAACUUGUAUCUGAAACUGUGUUGACCGCGCACAGUCGGCAGACAGUCGGCCGACUCAGUCUCCAUGUGUGGACUAGGCUGGACGCGCCUAAUUACGCGCCCGCGCCGGCCCGACAAUCGAAAACUAACAACUGUCAUGGCUUUUCUUCAAGACUCUUAGUUCAAAAUUACUUUAGAAUUUUUGCUGUAAAAGAUUUUACGUAUUUGAACAGUCGCAAUUGUCUCAUUGCUCAGUAAUACACCCUAAGUGUAUUACACGAUCAAUGGUAUUCAUCCAAUGAUUCAAUUCUCCUUUUCUUUUGCACAAUUUUUUUGACAAACAAUUCCAGGUCUGUGUCCAACAGAGUAGAGGGGGUUUUUUUAGUGAGUAGUCUGUGAUAAAUUCAGGAGCCUCGCACUACAGGCUGGCUACCUGUGUGCGUAAAAGCAAUGUCCCUCCUCUCCCUUGAAAAAACAUAUCAUAGUUUAUUAUAUAUGACGUGAUGAGAAGUACGUUCAACAUUGAAGAAGUGGUAUUUAACAAUGAGGAAAGAUAAAGUUUGAAACAGAAAGAUACAAGUGUUAACAACGGCAAAAGGUAACAAUUUUUCACAAUUUUUGUCUAAAAUAUUUCAUAAAAAAUACAUUCAUGAAAAUAAAGAAAUUUAAGACUACAAGAAAAACAAGGGUUAAUUUUAGGAAGAACUUAUAAAAAAAAUAUGAAGUUCCGUUUAGAGAACUUAUAUGAUAUUGUAAACUGGUAUUAUAAAAUUGUGCUUGUUCCUUUAUGUGUGAAAACACCAUGACCUGGGAACAAAAACGAUUUAUAAUAUUCAAUUGAAAAAAAAACCAUCUUUUCGGAACAGAUUAGGCCUAAAUGAUUUCAGCUCCCAAACAUAUUGUUACAAUGAAAAUAGUUUUAAGUCGAAUAAAUGUCUGGAACAUCCAAAAUAAUUUUGAAAUACUGGGGAUACGAGCUCUUAUUGUACACAGGCUACCAAAAAUAUUCAGAUAACUGGAGUAAUACAUAGGCCUAACAUGCCAGUGCCAACACAUCGGUAUUUUGUUAUCUUAAUGCGACAAAUCACACCAGACUUAAUUGGAAGAAAACAUUUAUAAUUGUAUGAAACUUAGUACUUCAUGCCAAAAUGACAAUGGAAAGUAUUCUCGUUUGCCUUGUUUGAUCAUUUUGUUACUAAGGCAAAAAAAAUAUAUUUCCUUGGCACAAGUAUGGUUGUGUCAUUAAAAUGUAAGCUUUUGACUAAAAAUAUGCUACAUUUCAUUCACCCCCAAACUCAACAGUAUAAUAGUAUAUUGAAACAUUGAAAGCAUAAACAAGUGACUAAAUUAUUUAUGUAUAAGUUGCAUUUCAUGAAAAAGGUGGAUAUAAAAUGUAGACUGUGAAGAUAAGAGCUUUUAUUUCAACGCGGUGUAUCAUCUACAUAUGCUUUUCUAUUUCUAGAUUAUAUAGAAUAUUUGAAUUACCUAGAGCCACAUCAAAUGUCAGGGCUGAAAUAGCAACAGCCACCCAUAUCUGAAACAAACAUAACAUAUUUAUUAAACUACCAAUCGAAUAAGAGUUAUUUAAAAAGCAACAUAAUCACCAGAAAGUACUUUUUCUUAUAACUUAACUUUAUCAAUAGAUAUAAAAUUAUGUAGUUUUAUGAAAUUGCAGUAAGGUUUUUCCAAGGGAAAUGUCUAUUACUUAUUGUACUGAUUGUUAAUAUUAUCAUCGUGAGGAUUCAUGUAUAGUUAUGUAUGUUGUAUUUAUAGGUUUAUUUUUAUACUACAAAUAUUCCAUUCUAAACUGAACACAUUCACUGUGAUUUUUGCCCUGUAAAAUAUUUAGUUAAACACACUGAUAAAAAAAAUUAGUUUUAUGAUUGCUCUCAAAAUAUAAAGCCUUUUAACUGAAUGCUUUCCAAAAAAAUUUAAAAAAUCGUCGGUUUUUAAACAUUUUACUCGUAUCAGUCGUUUGAGCUUCCAUAUCAGGUUUCAAAACGAAUAUCAUCACAAUAAAUAAAAAAUCAGACAUAGUAUUUUGCUCCAGUGGAGAUAUGUUGAUUAUUAAAACCUGUUCCAUGCUUGAGUUACUUUUACCUCCAAUCAUUCAGUUUGUAUAUAGUAAAGUGUAUCAAGCAUUCGUGGUAAAGCAUUCUUAAUAAAUGAAGCAUAUCGUAUUCAUUGGGCCGCAUGAAGUAUUGAGACCUAAAUAUUUCAUCCACUAUGAUAAAAAUUUACUAUUUUAUAUUUUUGAUCUCACAAAUUUGUUUAGAUCUUCCAUUAUAAAGAAUUAUGUUUUUAUAGCACUUGAGAAACUGCGUUAUAGUUGAUUAAUUAUUCUAUUUAAUAUGGACAUUUUCUUUACCAAAGUGUAUAUAGAAUAUGAUAUGCAAAUAGUUUGAUGAAAAUCAUAGAUACAGUACUGUAUGAAAAGCACAGUUAAAUACAUUUUAAAUCAGACAUAUAAAAUAUGUCUACAAGCAAAUAACUGUUUGAGAGUGAAUGUUAAUUGAAUGGCCUUAGAAGUGUUUUGUUUACUUUCACAGUUGAUAUUGCUUAUUCCUAAAAAACUUUUUUAGUAAUUUAGUAAAAUUUAAAAAUUGGGCACCUUUUUAUGGAGUAAAGGGAGAUGGGCUUUCUUCAGGUAUUAGAUCUUACAUAGUUUUUUAGACAUAUUUUCAUAGAACUAUAAUAUUAUUAAGAUUGGUCAUUAGUUCAACUGAGGAUGAGCCUUCGAUUUUAUAAGAGGUUGUUGUUUUCCUUUUGAAUGAGUUCUCUACCACUAAAUCAUUCAAUAAUUAUUGAAAAUAUUGAAACACUCAAACAUAAAAGUAUUUUAAAACCCAUGAGAAAUGAACUUUUAAUAUGUAAUAGUUUUAACUAGAAUGCAGUGAGGCGUAAUAGUCUGGAUUGGUGUACCUAUAUUGAGUACGGUUUAAGAGCUUUCAACAAGCGAGCCUGUGCCACAGAAAUCAUUGUGCUGGAAAUUAUCUGAAGCUAAUUUGUAUAUGAUGGAUGCUAUAGAAGUGGUUUGUGCUUUAAAUGGAAAGAAGAGUUUAACUUGAACUCAAUAAACACACCUACGCCUGGAGCUAAUAUGCAUAUUGGUUGUAAAUUACUUUAAAUAAAUCUAUUUUUACCAGCAUUAAAAAUAUAAAAUAUAGUACAGGUAAAAUUCUUCUAAAAGACUAGUAGAAAACAUAAAAAUUAGUCCGU